rnacentral:rRNA from 1 species
AGAGUUUGAUCCUGGCUCAGGAUGAACGCUGACAGAAUGCUUAACACAUGCAAGUCAACUUGAACUUCGGUUUGGGUGGCGGACGGGUGAGUAACGCGUAAAGAACUUGCCUCACAGAUAGGGACAACAUUUGGAAACGAAUGCUAAUACCUGAUAUUAUGAUUUUAGGGCAUCCUAAGAUUAUGAAAGCUAUAUGCGCUGUGAGAGAGCUUUGCGUCCCAUUAGCUAGUUGGAGAGGUAACGGCUCACCAAGGCGAUGAUGGGUAGCCGGCCUGAGAGGGUGAACGGCCACAAGGGGACUGAGACACGGCCCUUACUCCUACGGGAGGCAGCAGUGGGGAAUAUUGGACAAUGGACCAAGAGUCUGAUCCAGCAAUUCUGUGUGCACGAUGAAGUUUUUCGGAAUGUAAAGUGCUUUCAGUUGGGAAGAAAAAAAUGACGGUACCAACAGAAGAAGUGACGGCUAAAUACGUGCCAGCAGCCGCGGUAAUACGUAUGUCACAAGCGUUAUCCGGAUUUAUUGGGCGUAAAGCGCGUCUAGGUGGUUAUGUAAGUCUGAUGUGAAAAUGCAGGGCUCAACUCUGUAUUGCGUUGGAAACUGUGUAACUAGAGUACUGGAGAGGUAAGCGGAACUACAAGUGUAGAGGUGAAAUUCGUAGAUAUUUGUAGGAAUGCCGAUGGGGAAGCCAGCUUACUGGACAGAUACUGACGCUGAAGCGCGAAAGCGUGGGUAGCAAACAGGAUUAGAUACCCUGGUAGUCCACGCCGUAAACGAUGAGUGCUAAGUGUUGGUCUCAUAAGAGAUCAGUGCUGCAGCUAACGCAUUAAGCACUCCGCCUGGGGAGUACGACCGCAAGGUUGAAACUCAAAGGAAUUGACG